GACUAACGCUGGCGGCGUGCUUAACACAUGCAAGUCGAACGGAAAGGCCCUUUUGUGGGUACACUAGUGAUGAAGGGUUGCGUAACACGUGUGUGAAAUGCCCUGCAAUUUGGGAUAGGCGUGGGCAACUGGGUCUAAUAUCGGGUACGACUUCGCGAUUCUUGCCGUGUGGUGGUAAGCUUUUGCGGUGUGGGAUGAGCGCGCUGACUAUCAGAUUUUUGGUUGGGUGAUGGCCUACUGAUGCGCCGAUGGGUAGCCGGCCUUAGAGGGUGUCCGGCCACACUGGGACUGAGAUACGGCCCAGAAUCCUACGGGAGGCAGCAGUGGGGAAUAUUGCACAAUGGGCGAAAGCCUGAUGCAGCGACGCCGCGUGGGGGAUGACGGCCUUAGGGUUGUAAACCCCUUUCAGCACAGACGAAGCGUAAGUGACGGUAUGUGCAGAAGAAGCACCGGCCAACUACGUG
rnacentral:rRNA from 1 species